UACGGGGGGGGGCAAGCGUUGUUCGGAAUUACUGGGCGUAAAGGGCGCGUAGGCGGUUGGAUAAGUCAGCUGUGAAAACCACGAGCUCAACUUGUGGCCUGCAGUUGAAACUGUCUGGCUAGAGUGUGGGAGAGGGAAGUGGAAUUCCUGGUGUAGCGGUGAAAUGCGUAGAUAUCAGGAGGAACACCGGUGGCGAAGGCGGCUUCCUGGACCACAACUGACGCUGGAGGCGCGAAAGCCUAGGGGAGCAAACAGG
rnacentral:rRNA from 1 species